GGGCAUCUUUCACUCCAGAGCAAUAGCAUGGUCUACACAGAAGUCCUCAACCUCCCCAUAUUGGUCAGUCUGUGGCCUGUCAGGAACCAGGCCACCUAGCAGGAGGUGAGUGGUGGGUGAGAGAGGGAAGCUUCAUCUGUAUUUAUAGCCACUUCCCAUCACUCAUGUUACUGCCUGAGCUCUGCCUCCUGUCAGAUGGGCAGAGGCAUUAGGUUCUCACAGGAGCACAAACUCUAUUGUGAACUGCACACAUGAAGGAGCUGGAUUGUGUGCUCUUUAUGAGAAUCUAAUGACUGAUGAUCUGUCACUGUCUCCCAUCCUCUUCAAAUGGCACUGUCUACUUGAAAAACAAGCUCAGGGCUCCCACUGAUUCUACAUUAUGGGACAUGGAUGAAUCUGGAGAACAUCAUCCUCAGCAAACUGACACAAGAACAGAAAAUGAAACACCGCAUAUUCUCACUUAUAGGCGGGUGAUGAAAAAUGAGAACACAUGGACACAGAAAGGGGAGUACUAAACACUGGGGUCUAUUGGGGGGAAAAGGGGAGGGCCAGUGGGAAGGGGAGGUGGGGAGGGAUAGCCUGGGGAGAAAUGCCAAAUGCGGGUGAAGGGGAGAAGGAAAGCAAAGCACACUGCCAUGUGUGUACCUACGCAACUGUCUUGCAUGCUCUGCUCAUGUACCCCAAAACCUAAAAUCCAAUAAAAAAUUAAAAAAAAAAAAAAAAAGAGAUCACUCACACACUUGAGAACUCAUCAAUUGCUCAGAUCAGAGAUAAAGCCCUGAGUAAGCCCAUAGUAAAUGCUAAGAUUUACUCCAUGAAACCUGUAGACUUACAGGUCAGCUACAUAACAUGCAGUGAAGUUUGAUGGCCACUGUUCUCCUUCCACCCUGGGUUACACUAUUUAUUUUCAUGUCAGAUAAUCAGAUCCUAGCUGAUCUUUCCCAUUGUUCUGCCUCAGACUGCACCACACUCCAAUGCGUUCUUCACAACUGCCAAUCAGAUCGCGUUGGGCAGUGAUCAGAAUCCUUCACCAGGACUGCCUGGAGAUAAACGGUCCAGUUAGAGUC
rnacentral:lncRNA from 1 species